rnacentral:rRNA from 1 species
ACGAACGCUGGCGGCGUGCCUAAUACAUGCAAGUAGAACGCUGAAGGAGGAGCUUGCUUCUCUGGAUGAGUUGCGAACGGGUGAGUAACGCGUAGGUAACCUGCCUGGUAGCGGGGGAUAACUAUUGGAAACGAUAGCUAAUGCCGCAUAAGAGUAGAUGUUGCAUGACAUUUGCUUAAAAGGUGCAAUUGCAUCACUACCAGAUGGACCUGCGUUGUAUUAGCUAGUUGGUGGGGUAACGGCUCACCAAGGCGACGAUACAUAGCCGACCUGAGAGGGUGAUCGGCCACACUGGGACUGAGACACGGCCCAGACUCCUACGGGAGGCAGCAGUAGGGAAUCUUCGGCAAUGGACGGAAGUCUGACCGAGCAACGCCGCGUGAGUGAAGAAGGUUUUCGGAUCGUAAAGCUCUGUUGUAAGAGAAGAACGAGUGUGAGAGUGGAAAGUUCACACUGUGACGGUAUCUUACCAGAAAGGGACGGCUAACUACGUG